AUGAUAAAAACGUGAAAUAUCGUAAAUGGAUCCGUGCUUUUAAAUUCAUACAGUCAUUAGCUGUCAGAGUGAACACAUUAAUAUUAUUUUAGAUUCUGAGUGGAGCGAAGAAGUUUAUGGUUUUACAGAGAUGUUUGUUUUUUUUUCUGUAGACAACUUUUCUACCAGAAAUCUUGCUCCGAUUUUUAAGUGUAACAUCUUUUCUGAAAAUCAGACUGGGAAGGUAUUCUAAGGAGGUAAUUUUUUGAUUUCCUCUAGGAGUUUUCUCAAUAAAUGGAAAAACCGAGAAAAUAGGUACAAUAUUAAACAAAUAUUAUUCAAGAAAAUAUAUAUUUUCUAAGUAAUUGUUUUACUAUAGUAUGACACAUAUAUUGUUGACAAAGCAACACUAUCAACCGAACUUCACUCAGAAUCGUUUUUUCGUUAGCAACGGUUUAUCGUUGCUUACAGAUGUUCCUAUAUAAAAUUUCCCUUCUACGACCUUCCCAAC